rnacentral:lncRNA from 10 species
GGUCGCUGCGCCUCGGUGGUGGUCACGCCCGGCCAGCUGUGGCCGCAUCCCUGUCGGCUAGCUCGGGUCUGGCCCACGGUGACUGUUACCCCUGGGGAAUGGGGCAGCUCUGAUCCAUCCAACGCUGCUGCACUGGAGACUGGGUCAGAAAUCAGGAGUGAGGACUUGUUGAAAGAAAUAGGAAGGAAUCAGAUCACAUAAAUGCUGGCCCCAAAUGUUUGCAUCAUAAACCCAUUGCCUAAUUUUACAGUUGAGAAAAUAAAGCUCUCUAAAUAACCACAAAGCUCCUACUCCUACUUCAGACAUAUCAGAAAAAUGAGAUAAUAAUGCACAAACCAAGUUUCAAAAGCUCUAUGGUAGGUCUGGAGAGAUGGAGAUCAGUUCUUGUCUGUCAGCCCCUGUUCUUCCAUUCUUAUAAGGUUACAGAAUCUCUAGCAAGGGACAUGACAGCUCAGGGAAAAAGCACACAUUUCCCAGCAUUCUUUAAGGCAAAGUGUGUCCAUGUGACCAACUUCUGGCAAACAGGCUGUAAGAAAAUGUGAUGCUGUGUCCUUAAAGACAAGGGACAUGCCCUCCCUGCCCCCAAACCUUCAUCGACCAGGUGGAAUGUUGACAAGGGAGAGCAUCAGAGCAUCUUGGACCAUGUGAAUAAGGGUGUGGCUGCUGGGGAUGACAGAGCAACUAAAAGGAGGAGGCACAGAGCUGCUAUAUCAGCCCCAGAUGGCUUACUUUCUGAUGAUACAUGAGAGAGAAAUAAACUUUCAUCAAAUUUAAACCACAUUUAUUUGGGUUCUUCAAAUUAAUUUCCAAGCCCAUAGCCUAACUAAUACCCCUAGAAAUGAGGAAGGAUGGAAAAAUCAC